rnacentral:rRNA from 1 species
UGCAGGCUGCAACCCGCCCUGCAUGAAGUCGGAAUUGCUAGUAAUCGCGGAUCAGCAUGCCGCGGUGAAUACGUUCCCGGGCCUUGUACACACCGCCCGUCACACCAUGGGAGCCGGUAAUACCCGAAGUCAGUAGUCCAACCUCGUGAGGACGCUGCCGAAGGUAGGAUUGGCGACUGGGGUGAAGUCGUAACAAGGUAAC